rnacentral:rRNA from 1 species
GAUGAACGCUGGCGGCGUGCUUAACACAUGCAAGUCGAACGAUGAAGCCCAGCUUGCUGGGUGGACUAGUGGCGAACGGGUGAGUAACACGUGAGUAACCUGGACUUAACGCUGGGAUAAGCCUGGGAAACUGGGUCUAAUACGGGGCAGGAGGGUCCACCGCCCGGUGGGGGUUGGAGAGUCUUAUCGGUUUUGGAUGGACUCGCGGCCUUUCAGCUGGUUGGUGCGGUAGUGGCUCACCAAGGCGACGACGGGUAGCCGGCCGGAGAGGGUGACCGGCCACACUGGGACUGAGACACGGCCCAGACUCCUCCGAGAGGCAGCAGUGGUGAAUAUUGCACAAUGGGCGGAAGCCUGAUGCAGCGACACCGCGUGGGGGAUGAAGGCCUUCGGGUUGUAAACCUCUUUCAGUAGGGAAGAAGCGAAAGUGACGGUACCUGCAGAAGAAGCACCGGCUAACUACGUG